CCUACGGGCGGCAGCAGUGAGGAAUAUUGGUCAAUGGACGAGAGUCUGAACCAGCCAAGUAGCGUGAAGGAUGACUGCCCUAUGGGUUGUAAACUUCUUUUAUAUGGGAAUAAAAUGUUCCACGUGUGGGAUUUUGUAUGUCCCAUAUGAAUAAGGAUCGGCUAACUCCGUGCCAGCAGCCGCGGUAAUACGGAGGAUCCGAGCGUUAUCCGGAUUUAUUGGGUUUAAAGGGAGCGUAGGUGGAUUGUUAAGUCAGUUGUGAAAGUUUGCGGCUCAACCGUAAAAUUGCAGUUGAAACUGGCAGUCUUGAGUACAGGAGAGGUGAGCGGAAUUCGUGGUGUAGCGGUGAAAUGCUUAGAUAUCACGAAGAACUCCGAUUGCGAAGGCAGUUCACUGGACUGCAACUGACACUGAGGCUCGAAAGUGUGGGUAUCAAACAGGAUUAGAUACCCUAGUAGUC
rnacentral:rRNA from 1 species